rnacentral:lncRNA from 1 species
AAAAUGAACUUCAUGCUAACCACUCCCAGCUAAUAUAUAAUAAUAUUAAUUUGAGAUGAGAAAUAUAUAUGACCAUAAAUGUGAAGUGAUAAUAAUACAGUAGGUAGUUAGGUAGGUAGGUACCUAGGUAAUCGGUGAGGACUCGGCCGUCGGAGAAGCGGCCGGCGGGUUUACCGGGAAAGGUAAGACCAUAAGGGAGUUUCCAGGAAUUGGAUAGAGACUUCCUGUUGUUCCCUGUAUCAGCAUACGAGUCCCCGAACACGAAUAGCUUCCUUGGACCAACUACUCCCACCGAGUAUAAUAGCUUUUCAUGAUGAUGAGAUAUUGAUGAAGAAUCUUGCACCACCACCCCUUCAUCUAAUUCAUAUCCAUAUCCUGUACGGAAAUAAAAGACAGAAAUUAAGAUGGGCUGGUUACAACUUACAAGUUCUACUUAAUUAGCAUUAUAACUAUAUAUAUAUAUAUAUAUAUAUAUACCUGUAUAUGAAAAGGUUAAAGAGGAGGAUGAGAAGAAAACACAAGUGGAAGAGUUUUUGAAGCUCCAUGAGCGAGUGAGAGAGAGAGAGCUAGGGAUUAAUGGUCGGUCAGCUAGAUUAAGAACCCCUAGCUACCUGGAUCGUUUGAAGUACCGCUGCCAGUGAGAGAGAAAGAGGGAUGAAAUUAUGAUGAUUCGGAAUGAGGAGUGAUAAAUUAUGUAGGGUGAAUUAAAAUUUAAAAGAUUAAAUAGAAAAUUAAAAAUUAUGUAGUGAUAAAUGAGGAAUGAUAAUUCGAAAGUCUGGACCUGAUCAGUGUUACUAUAUACUAUAUAUAUAUAUAUAUAAGGGUAACAUUUUUGGUCUCAAUAAAUAAGAAGAAAUAUAUAUCCACUUAAUUCGUUUGUACAUGCAGACAGGUACUAUUUUAGUUAAUGAGUAGUUUAAAUUGAAGGAGGACCACAAGUUUAAUUUACAUUAUCAGGUGUCAGCUAUCCUUCUUUUAAACUGCUCCACCUACAAAAAUAGCCAUGGAUGUGUGAGGGAAGUGGAAGUUCAUUUUUGGAUAAGUUAAUUAAUUGGCCAAUAGAAUACUGAUACAUAUGCGAGACUCAAUAUGUGUUAAUAUUCUACUGGUCAAUUGACCAAUUUAUUAAAUAAUAAACUUCAUGCUAACCGGAUCUAUGUGUGAGAUAUGAGUUGCUAUGUCACAGUCACUGAUCUUCUUCUCAGUAGACUAGGCUCAAUGUUUGGUCAAUAGACUCUCAAGAAUUCAAUUUACUUAAAUGAUCCAUUUAAAAAAAUAAAAUUCAAAUUCGUUAAUAAUAUGAUAGCAACGUUAUAAUCGAUUCGUUUAAUAUUCAAAUUACUUGAAUUCUCGAUUGUGAUUCGAUACAUAUUCGAUUGAUACAAAUUCGAUUAGAUACUCGAUACAUUCUCUUAUAAUAUAUACUAAAUUAAAUCAAAUUAUGAUAAUUAAUUAUUAUUAUUUUGUUUUAUUUUGAAUUUUAAUUGUGACUUUAUAUUUGUAAAAUGUAGUAGUAAAAAUAUUUUCUCAUUUUUAAGUAAAAUAACAAAUUUAAUUUAUAAUUAUAUUUAUUUUAAAACUAGUUCUUAUGUAAAGACUUGAAUUUGAAGUUCGCGAAUAAUUUGAAAAUAAUUCUAUUCGAGUCGGAUUGAAUUUGAGUAAUAAAUAGUCGAGUCGAGUCGAAUUGAAUAUGAGUAAAAAAUUUCAAAUACAAUUCAAAUUCGAAUUCGAGUAUGAAUUUAAUAUUUGAAAUUAAAUUCUAACAACUCUCUGAUCGCUUCGGUUCAACUUGCCUCAUUUACACCAAUAAAUUUAUCGUCUUUGGAAAAAGUUAUUUUAGCCAGUAAAUUCAACAAAGAUGAACCUUAUAGUACUAGUAUCAAUUAGAAUCCUUUUAUGCAAGAAAAAGAAUCUAAUUGAAUAACUUACAUAUCAUUAAUGAUAUAUAAGUCAUCCAUCUAUGAUCUAUCUAUGGUUGAAAUUAAGGUGGCAUGUAAUCUUGAUUAGUAAACCGGGGAAAACAUCAUCGGGAUCAUGGAUAUGGGGAUUUGCUUCAACAAUAAAAGGAUCCCCACACUUUUCACUUAUCGUCUGCAAUGUCUCUCCUUCUCUCACCACGUAAAUCUCGUCGCAUGGAUUCAUCAUCAUCGUCAAGUACUCCUGCUGCUGCUGCCGCCCAUCACCGGUGAGCUCGCUAUCUUCACACCUGCUUAAAGCCAACAUUAUAAUUAUUGCCAACAACAAACCACAGUAGUGCCACGAAACCUUCUCAGUCCAGGAAUGAUCAACAGUACCAGCCAUAUAUAUAUAUAUAUGAUAAAGCUCUGAAUUGAACUUAAUUUCUUGUUGAGUACGUUUCAGAAUUAAUUGAUGAAUCGAANNNNNNNNNNNNNNNNNNNNNNNNNNNNNNNNNNNNNNNNNNNNNNNNNNNNNNNNNNNNNNNNNNNNNNNNNNNNNNNNNNNNNNNNNNNNNNNNNNNNUUAUACACAUGACUUCUAUAACAGAAGAGAGAGACACAGAAAAAAGAAAGAGGAAAGUGAGUGCAAAUUUGCGUAAAUUAAUUUUAUUUAUUUAUAAAAUGAAUUAGUUGUAAAAUAAACAAGUAUUAUAUCUAGCUAAUAUAAAUCCGGUUAGCAUAAAAUUUAUUUUUUGGUAAGUUGAUCAAUUCGCCUGUAAAAUACUGACACGCAUAGAGUCUCGUCUGCGUGUCAGUAUUUUAUUGGUCAAUUGACCAACUUACCCAAAAAUGAACUUCAUGCUAACCACUCCCAGCUAAUAUAUAAUAAUAUUAAUUUGAGAUGAGAAAUAUAUAUGACCAUAAAUGUGAAGUGAUAAUAAUACAGUAGGUAGUUAGGUAGGUAGGUACCUAGGUAAUCGGUGAGGACUCGGCCGUCGGAGAAGCGGCCGGCGGGUUUACCGGGAAAGGUAAGACCAUAAGGGAGUUUCCAGGAAUUGGAUAGAGACUUCCUGUUGUUCCCUGUAUCAGCAUACGAGUCCCCGAACACGAAUAGCUUCCUUGGACCAACUACUCCCACCGAGUAUAAUAGCUUUUCAUGAUGAUGAGAUAUUGAUGAAGAAUCUUGCACCACC